GACGAACGCUGGCGGCGUGCUUAACACAUGCAAGUCGAACGAUGAACCCGGAGCUUGCUCCGGUGGAUUAGUGGCGAACGGGUGAGUAACACGUGAGUAACCUGCCCUUGACUCUGGGAUAACUGCGGGAAACUGUAGCUAAUACCGGAUACGACCCUCGGCGGCAUCGCCAGGGGGUGGAAAGAAUUUCGGUCAAGGAUGGACUCGCGGCCUAUCAGCUAGUUGGUGAGGUAACGGCGCACCAAGGCGACGACGGGUAGCCGGCCGGAGAGGGUGACCGGCCACACUGGGACUGAGACACGGCCCAGGCUCCUACGGGAGGCAGCAGUGGGGAAUAUUGCACAAUGGGCGCAAGCCUGAUGCAGCAACGCCGCGUGAGGGAUGACGGCCUUCGGGUCGUAAACCUCUUUUAGUAGGGAAGAAGCGAAAGUGACGGUACCUGCAGAAAAAGCACCGGCUAACUACGUGCCAGCAGCCGCGGUAA
rnacentral:rRNA from 1 species